UACGUAGGGUGCAAGCGUUGUCCGGAAUUAUUGGGCGUAAAGAGCUCGUAGGCGGUCUGUCGCGUCUGCUGUGAAAACUCGGGGCUUAACCCCGGGCCUGCAGUGGGUACGGGCAGACUAGAGUGCGGUAGGGGAGACUGGAAUUCCUGGUGUAGCGGUGAAAUGCGCAGAUAUCAGGAGGAACACCGGUGGCGAAGGCGGGUCUCUGGGCCGUAACUGACGCUGGAGGAGCGAAAGCGUGGGAGCGAACAGG
rnacentral:rRNA from 1 species